GAUGAACGCUGGCGGCGUGCCUAAUACAUGCAAGUCGAGCGAACAGACGAGGAGCUUGCUCCUCUGACGUUAGCGGCGGACGGGUGAGUAACACGUGGAUAACCUACCUAUAAGACUGGGAUAACUUCGGGAAACCGGAGCUAAUACCGGAUAAUAUAUUGAACCGCAUGGUUCAAUAGUGAAAGACGGUUUUGCUGUCACUUAUAGAUGGUUCCGCGCCGCAUUAGCUAGUUGGUAAGGUAACGGCUUACCAAGGCAACGAUGCGUAGCCGACCUGAGAGGGUGAUCGGCCACACUGGAACUGAGAAACGGACCAGACGCCUACGGGAGGCAGCAGUAGGGAAUCUUCCGCAAUGGGCGAAAGCUUGACGGAGCAACGCCGCGUGAGUGAUGAAGGUCUUCGGAUCGUAAAACUCUGUUAUUAGGGAAGAAAAAAUGUGUAAGUAACUAUGCACGUCUUGACGGUACCUAAUAAGAAAGCCACGGCUAACUACGUG
rnacentral:rRNA from 1 species